rnacentral:misc_RNA from 1 species
GUGAAUCAUCAAAUUUUUGAACGCAAAUUGCACUCUCUGGUAAUCCGGAGAGUAUGCCUGUUUGAGGGUCAGUUUAAAUAAAAAUCGUUUUGGUUGCUGCCUUUCGCUUUGACUCGCCGGUUUUGGGUCGUCUUGCGUGCGGUUAAGUGACCUAGAUAUUUGUAUGAUUUUUUCGAACAGAUUUAAGUAAUUAUA